UACGGGGGGGGGCAAGCGUUGUUCGGAAUUACUGGGCGUAAAGGGCUCGUAGGUGGCCAACUAAGUCAUACGUGAAAGCCUGCGGCUCAACCGCAGAAGUGCGUAGGAAACUUCCUCGCUAGAGUCCGGAAGAGGAGAGCGGAAUUCCUGGUGUAGCGGUGGAAUGCGCAGAUAUCAGGAGGAACACCCGUGGCGAAGGCGGCUCUCUGGGACGGUACUGACGCUGAGACGCGAAAGCGUGGGGAGCGAACAGG
rnacentral:rRNA from 1 species